ensembl:lncRNA
GCUGAAUAAGAUCUGUGCUCUGUAUAAUGGAUUCAUGGGCUACCUGUGUGUGCUGAUAAACUCCAGAACACACAGGAAACGCAGCGGCGGCAGACCGUCAACUCCAACCCGCUCGCAACGCCGACCGGCCUCCAUCUGUUGCCACUUUUGAAAAGAGCGGCUGAAAACACGUUUGUGUAAUUUGGCAUGUUCUUUCAAAUGGAAAUAAUCCGCCUGUUUUUCCUUCCGAGGGGAGGCUCCCCUCUGUCGUGGCUUUCAAGGCUGCAUUAUCCUGCUGGAAGAGGCCACAGCCAUCAGUGAGCACUGUUUCCAUGAAAGGGUGUACAUGAUUUGCAACAAUGCUUAGGCAGGUGGUACGUGUCAAAGUAACAUAGAUGGCAGGACCCAAGGUUUCUCAGAAUUGCCCAAAGCAUCACGCUGCCUCUGCCAACUGCCUUCUUCCUGCAGUGCAUCCUGAGGCCGGGUGUCCUCCAGUAAGCAACACACCAGAAAAAGAAGAAAGAAAAUGUGAUUCAUCAGACCAGAAUACCUUAUUUUAUUGCUCUGUGGUCCAGUCCUGAUGCUCGCAUGCACAUUGUUGGUCAUUUUUAGUGGUGAAAGGGGGCAGCAUGGGCACCCUGACUGGUCUGCAGCUAUGCAGCCCCCUACACAACAAACUGUGAUGCACAGUGUAUUCUGACACUUUU